CGCGCGCGGUAAUUCCAGCUCCAAUAGCGUAUAUUAAAGUUGUUGCAGUUAAAACGCUCGUAGUCGGAUUUCGGGGCGGGGCCGCCGGUCUGCCGAUAGGUAUGCACUGGCGGGCGCGGAGCGUUUGUCGGAGACGGGAUGUUUACUUUGAAAAAAUCAGAGUGUUUCAAGCAGGCAGUCGCUCUUGCAUGGAUUAGCAUGGGAUAAUGAAAUAGGACUCUGGUGCUAUUUUGUUGGUUUCGAGCACCGGAGUAAUGAUUAACAGGGACAGUCAGGGGCACUCGUAUUCCGCCGAGAGAGGUGAAAUUCUUAGACCAGCGGAAGACGAACCACUGCGAAAGCAUUUGCCAGGGAUGUUUUCACUGAUC
rnacentral:rRNA from 1 species